AGUGAACGCUGGCGGUAGGCCUAACACAUGCAAGUCGAACGGCAGCACAGGAGAGCUUGCUCUCUGGGUGGCGAGUGGCGGACGGGUGAGGAAUACAUCGGAAUCUACUCUGUCGUGGGGGAUAACGUAGGGAAACUUACGCUAAUACCGCAUACGACCUACGGGUGAAAGCAGGGGACCUUCGGGCCUUGCGCGAUUGAAUGAACCGAUGUCGGAUUAGCUAGUUGGCGGGGUAAAGGCCCACCAAGGCGACGAUCCGUAGCUGGUCUGAGAGGAUGAUCCGCCACACUGGAACUGAGACACGGGCCAGACGCCUACGGGAGGCAGCAGUGGGGAAUAUUGGACAAUGGGCGCAAGCCUGAUCCAGCCAUACCGCGUGGGUGAAGAAGGCCUUCGGGUUGUAAAGCCCUUUUGUUGGGAAAGAAAUCCAGCUGGCUAAUACCCGGUUGGGAUGACGGUACCCAAAGAAUAAGCACCGGCUAACUUCGUGCCAGCAGCCGCCGUAA
rnacentral:rRNA from 1 species